rnacentral:piRNA from 1 species
GUCAGCCUGUUGAGCGUGCCAACCCU